AUGUUGAGUAGGAGUGAUGAAAAUUGGCACCUUUGUCUUGUUCCAGUUCUUAGAAAAAAGGUUUUCAGUUUUUCCCCAUUCAGAAUGACGUUAGUUUUGGGAUUGUCAUAUGUGGACUUUAUUAUGUUAAGGUAUAUUCGUUUUAUGCCUAAUUUGUUGUUAGUUAUUAUCAUGAUGGGCUGCUGAAUUUUAUCAAAUGUAUUUUUGCAUCUAUAGAGAUGAUCAUAUGAUUUUUGUCCUUCAUUCUGUUGAUGUGAUAUAUCAUAUUUAUUGAUAUGUGUGUCUUGAACAUCCUUGUAUCCCUGGGAUAAAUCCCACUUGAUCAUGGUGUAGUAUCUUUUUGAUGUGCUAUUGGAUUCAGUUUGCUAGCAUUUCGUUGAGGAUUUUUGCAUCUAUGUUCAGUAGUAGAGAUAUUGGCCUGUAGUUUUGUUAUUGUUGUUGUUGUGUCCUUGUCUGAUUUCAGGAUCAGGGUAAUGUUAGCCUUGUAAUGACUUAGGAAGCAAUCCAUCCUCUUCUAUUUUUUGAAAUAGUAAGAGAAUAAAUGGUGUGUAUUUUUCUUUAUAGGUUGGUAGAAUUCAGCAAUAAAGCAAUUCAAUCCUCAGCUUUUCUUUAUUGGGAGGCUCUGUAUUGCUGAUUCAAUCUUGUUACUCAUUAUUAGUCUGUUCAGGUUUUAUGUUUUUCCAUGAUUCAAUCUUGGUAGGUUGUAUGUGUCCAGGAACUUCCCAUUUCCCCUAGGAUUUCCCAUUUGUUAGUGAACUUUAGUUGUAUCUCUGUGGUAUCACUUGUAAUGUCUCCUUUUUUCUAUUCUGGUUUUAUUAAUUUGGGUCUUCCAUUUUUCUUAGUCUAAUAAAAGUUUUGUCAGUUUUAUUUUUUAAAAAAACUACUUUCGGUUUCAUUGAUCCUUCAUAUUUUUUUAGUCUCCAUUUUGUUUAGUUUUGCUUGAAUCUUUAUUAUUUCUUUUCUUCUACUAAUUUUGGGUUUGAAUUCUCCUAAUUUUUCUAGUUCUUUGAGGUGCACCUCUAGGUUGUUUGUUUCAAAUCUGCUUUUUUUUUAAUGUAGGCAUUUAUUUCUGUAAAAUUCUAUCUCAGCACUGCUUUUGUUGUACCAAUACCAUAGGUUUUGGUAUGCUGUAUUUCCACUUUCAUUCAUUUCAAUAAAUUUUUUGACUUCCUUCUUAAUUUCUUCAUUGGAGCAUUAGUCAUUCAGGAGCAAGUUGUGUAGUUUUCAUGUAUAUAUACAGCAUUCAAGGUUCCUCUUGCUAUUGAUUUCUAGUUUUAUUCCAUUGUGGUCUGAAAAAAUGCUUGAUAUGAGUUCAGCUUUUAAAAUUUGUUGAGAUUUGUUUUGUGGUCUAACAUAUGGUCUAUUCUGGAGGAUGCACCAUGUGCUGCUGAGGAGAAUUAUAUUCUCCUGUAUAUAUAUUCUGCAGUUAAGGGGGAAAAUAUUCUGUAAGGUCUGUUUGGUCUAAAGUGAAGUUUAAAUCCAAUGUUUCUUUGCUGAUCUUCUGUCUAGAUGAUUUGUCUAAUGCUGAGAGUGGGAUGUUGAAGUCCCCAACUAUUAUCAUAUUGGGGUCUAUCUCUACUUAUAGAUCUAAUAAUAUUUGCUUUAUAUAUUUGGUGUUAAAGUGUUGUGUGCAUAUAUGUUUAGAAUUGUGUUUCAUAAUGGUAGAUAUUAUUUUUUGCUUCCAGAUACAGGACUCCCUGAAGCAUUUCUUGUAGGGCUAGUCUAGUUGUGAUAAAUUUCCUGUUUUUGCUUGUCUGGGAUACUUAAUUUCUUCUUCAUUUUUGAAGGAUAGCUUUGCUGGUUAUAAUAGUCUUGUCUGACUUUUUUCUUUCAGUACAUUGAAUAUAUCAUCCCAUUCUUUCUUGGCCUGUGAGGUGUCAGCUGAGAAAUCCACGUUAGUGUGAUAUGGAUUCCCUCACAUGUUACCUGAUGCUUUUCUCUUGCUGUUUUUAUAAUUCUGUCUUUGUCCUUAGGUUUUGACAGUUUGACUAUGAAGUACUUUGCAGAAGACCUUUUGGGGUUGAAUCUAUUUGAGGAUAUUUGAGAUUCUUGUAUUUGGAUAUCUAUAUCUCUUCAAGACCUGGUUAAGUUUCUAUAUUUUGUUAAAUAGCUUUUCUAUGCUUUUGCCCAUCUCUUCUUUUGGAGCUCCCCCAAUUUGAAUAUUUGGUCACUUUAUGCUGUUUAUAUGUGCUUUUCUUCUUUCUUUUUUAUUCUUUACUCUUUUCUUUUUUGGGGGGGCAGUGUCUGACUUUGUUAUUUCAAAGAACUGUCUUCAAGUUUAGAUAUUCCUUCUUCUGCUUGAUCUAGUAUAUUGUUGAAAUUCUCAAUUGUAUUUUUAAAUUUUAUUCAUUGAGUUCUUCAGUUCCAGUAUUUCUCAUUAGUUCUUUUUCAGCAUAACUUUCUCUUUGUUGAAUGUUUUGUUCAGAUCGGGAAUUGUUUUCUCCUGAUUUCUUUGUAUUAUUUAUCUAUGUUCUCUUGUAUGCCCCUGAGCUUCUUUAGCAUCAUUAUUUUUAAUUCUUUUUCAGGUAUUUCAUAAAUGUCCAAUUUUGGUAUCUGUUACUGGGUAAUUAUUAUGUUCCUUUGGAGGUGUCUUGUUUCCUUGCUUUUUCGUUUUUUUUUUUUCAUGUUUCUUAUAAAAGGACACAAGAUUUCCUUGCUUUUUCAUGUUUCUUAUAUAAGGAUGCAAUAUGCUGAUAUCUGCAUAUCUGGUAUAACAGUUGUCUCUACCAAUUUUAUGGAUUGGUUUUCUUAGGUAAAGACUUUUUCCUGUAGAUGUAUCUAUAUUAUUGGUUGGGUAGGGUGAUUUGGCUUUGAUUGUGAGUUGGCACAGCAUUAUAGUUUCUAUAUGAUUUCUUCAUUUGUAAUCAGUGUUAGUGGUGUUUGUCAGCUCUUCAGUGGGCUAGGCUGUGAUUGUUAGUAGAGGCUGUGGCAAAGCUUUGCUGGGGAUGGGGAUUCCAAAUAGUUCAGUCUUGGGUACCAGUGGUGGAAGUAGCAGGUUGGGUGUGCAGAUCCAUGGCCCCCAGGUGGUGUUCCAGGUGCCAGUGGUGGCGUGUCUAGGUGGGCUGGUCCUUGGGGCUCCAGGCAGCUUGCUUGGGUGCUAGCAGUGGGCCAGGCAGGUGGAUGGGUCCUCAGGCCCGUUGGCAGUGUGUGUUGGGUCAGUGGUGGUAGUGGCAGUGGUAGGCUAAUACUGAGGCCCUUGAAUAUCAUGCACAGGUGCCAGUAGUGGCAUGAGAGGGCUGGGUGGGCCAGUUUCCAGGACUGUAGGUGGUGCAUUCAGGUGUGUGCCAGCAAUAGUGGCAGCAGCAAGUUGAAUGGUCCAGUACUUGGGUUUUUGGGAGGCAGGCAUAGUCACCAGCAAUAGAGGGAUGGGUCUAUCUUCAGGCCACUGGACAGAGUACAUGGGCAGCUGUAGUGGUGUGGUGGGCCUAUCCUCAGGCUACUGUAGAGUGUACAUGGGUGCCAGUGGUGGUGGAUGGCAGGAGUUGAUCUCUCAACUCUUGGGUAAUGUGCUGGGGCUCCGGAAGCAGUGGCAGUGGUGGUGGGCAGGGUGAGUUUGCCCUCAGGCCCCUCAGACAGUGUGUGGGUGCCAGCAGUGGCAAGGGGGAUGAGUUGAUCCCCAGGCCUCUGGAUGACAUAUGCAGGUACCUGUGGUGGUGGCUGGAAGUAGGGAGGGCCUGUCCUAAGGCCCCCGAUGGGGUGCACAGAUGCUUGCUGUGGUAGGUAGGGUACACAGUGGUAUUUUAAAUUUUAUUUCAUUUUUGGUAUAUUUGCUGAAACACUCAUUUGUUCAUUUGUGCUUUUAUCACCUAGAUCACAUAUUCAGGGUGGAGGAGACUCAAGAUCUCCAAUUUCUUUCAUUCUUGAUUUCUGGUAGACUUGGGUGUGGGUUCCUAGGGGUGAAGAUUUAAUGUAACUGCCUAUCCAACUAUGAAUCAAAUUCUGUUUCAUGAUUCACAACUUGAGUCAUCAAAUAUUAUUUUUGGCAAGUCAGGGACAUUCUAUAGAUGUUGAAAACAGACUUCAUAGUUAAUACAUACUAAUUGUGCUGAUAGAAAUGGCUUUAUUGAGAAUUUAUUACUUGCUUGUUAGACGUUAAUGCAACUGAAAAUUAGCACAGGUAGCAAAUUUGGCUCAAAUAAAGGUAAGAAAUUUUAUAUUAAAUAUGUAUUCAUAUUUGUGUAUUUGUGUAUGUAUGCUCAUGCAAAUAUAUAUGUAUAUGGUUGAAUCAUGUGAAAUUACAGCUUCUUUAGUUCAAAAAUAGACAAAUGUCAGCAAUAUCAUAUGUUUCAUAUAUGUAUUUUUUAUAUAUUUCAGAUUUUAGCUGCCUUAUGAAAGCAAUAGCAAAGAUGUCUAGUUUUCUUUUUUCUUAAAAAGAGGAACAAUCAAAUGAGUCACUUGGGUCCUAAAACAAAUUUUUCUUUACAGUUGUCCCUCAGUAUCAGUGAGAGAUUUGUUUCCAGGAUCACCUAUGGAUAUCAGAAUCCAUGGAUGCUCAAGUCCCUUAUAUUAAAUGACAACUUAGUGCCCUAAAGAAGAAGAAAGAUAAUGGUUCACAAUCAAUGCUCAUGGACCAGACACCUAAUCUGAACUUAACCAAAAAGUCAAUAUUUAGCUGUACCUUAUCAGUGUGGAAAUGUCAAGCAUAGCAAGAGGCACGAACAAAUUUCCAAGUGAUUUCUCUUUUUUUUAUGUUUCGGUGUUCACAGCUAUCUGGAAGCAUUUCAACAUCAGAUAAGACAAAACGGCCUUUGGGAGAAAAAAAAAGACAGCAAAUUACAAUACUUGCACUUGCUGAAACCACAGUUUAUGAGAGGAAAGCAGACGCUGGAGAUGCAUUCUAUUCUCCCCUAGCCCAUUCCCUGGGUCACCUUCCUGCCUGUGUGAUGCUGCCCUUGAUUGUUACCCACAGCUGGCAGCCUUUAAGAGACAGAUAUGGUGAAAUGUCUCCUUGCUGAGUAAAGUCAUAAUUUGUUGCCAUCCAACAUAAUUGACACAAAUCAUUUGCAUUCUAAAUUUCCAUGCCUAGGAAUAGAUAUAUCAAGCAUGACUAGAAGGACUGUGGGCCUGCGAAACAGGAGCUCCACCUGGAUUUCCUGGAAGUUAUGGCCAGUUAAUGUAGAGAAAGAGGUUUUCAAAAUUGUAAGAACUUCAGGACCUUUGUCAGAAUUCCGUCUCACUCCACAGGACUCCAGCUAACCUCACCCACAUAACUGGUGUUGAAAGUUUUAUUUUGUUAGAAAAUAAUGUUACACUGGAAGAACCUAUGCUGGUACUCACAUUUAAUGGGAUGGUUGGACUGUCUGUCAGCAAGAAACAUUUGGUUAUGGAAAAAAGGAAACAACACAAGAAAGAAAGGUGAUGAUUUAAAUGGAUAGAUAUGCAUUAUUGCUAACUGACUUUUUAAGGAAUUGUGGGUGGGCUUGACAUAACGGGGAACAUGAACAUGGAGACCUGAAAAAUAGCGAUAGAGAAAACAUCAUUUCAUCUGGGACUACAACUAGAAAGGACCUAUGUGAACUAGAUUCACAGAACAGUGAGUCAUAGAGUUCACAAAGGCCAGUGACCAACCAUUUCAAACUAUGUAUAUAGUAAGAAUCAUGUAGGUGCUUGUUAAAAAUGCAGAUUCCCAUGGCCUUCCCUCUGGAGAUGCUGAUUCAGGGUGUUAAAAUACUUCAUGCAGAGGCCAUUACACUGGGGUGGCUGCAUUGCUCUGGGUUUCUACUAAACAAACUGAAACCCAACUCAGUGUUAACAGGAAAACAACCAAUCAGAAACUGCCAACUUACCUCUAGUGGGACUUUCUGCUGGAAUCAUCCAAAUAAGGAUACUGAUCCACUUUAACCAAUAAAAUAUUUUAUUUGCCUUGUUUCAUGCAUUCACCCUAAAAAGCUUUCUCCUCCUGCCCCUUUGGUGGAGCUCUUUAACUGCUUGUGGUCUGGAGCUGCCCAAUUCAGGAAUCACUGAAUGCUCAAAUAAAUUGUAAUAUUUUAA